rnacentral:rRNA from 1 species
GACGAACGCUGGCGGCGUGCUUAACACAUGCAAGUCGUACGGUAAGGCCCUUUCGGGGGUGCACGAGUGGCGAACGGGUGAGUAACACGUGAGUAACCUGCCCACAACUUUGGGAUAACGCUAGGAAACUGGUGCUAAUACUGGAUAUGUGCUCCUGCUGCAUGGUGGGGGUUGGAAAGCUCCGGCGGUUGUGGAUGGACUCGCGGCCUAUCAGCUUGUUGGUGGGGUAGUGGCCUACCAAGGCGGCGACGGGUAGCCGGCCUGAGAGGGUGACCUGCCACAUUGGGACUGAGAUACGGCCCAGACUCCUACGGGAGGCAGCAGUGGGGAAUAUUGCACAAUGGGCGCAAGCCUGAUGCAGCAACGCCGCGUGCGGGAUGACGGCCUUCGGGUUGUAAACCGCUUUCAGCAGGGACGAAGCUUUUUGUGACGGUACCUGCAGAAGAAGCACCGGCUAACUACGUG